rnacentral:rRNA from 1 species
GAUGAACGCUGACGGAAUGCUUAAUACAUGCAAGUCGAAGGGGAAGUGGUGCUUGCACCAUGGUAACCAUGGGGGACGGGUGAGUAACGCGUAAGGAAAUUGCCUGCUGGCCUGGGAUAACAGCAGGAAACUGCUGAUAAUACGAGAGAUAGUCAUGAAGCAUCUUAGCUUAGUGAUGAUAGGAGACGCCUGCGGACAGCCUUGCCUCCAGUUAGUUAGUUGGAGGGGUAACAGCCCACCAAGGAGAUGAUAGGUAGCCGGCCUGACAGAGUGGACGGCCACAAGGGGACUGGGAUACGCCCCUGACUCCUACGGGAGACAGCAGUGGGGAAUAUUGGACAAUGCGGGCAACGCUAAUCAAGUAAUUCGGUGGGAACGAAGACGGUUUUGGGAUUGAAAAGUGCUUUCGGGAGGAGAGAAGGAAGUGACGGUACCUUCAGAGGAAGCGACGGCUAACUACGUG